UUGAAUUAACAUCGAGCACGUUGUGCUUUUAGAUUGCUCUUUCUCAUUUCAUGUUCCACCACGUCUCAAAUGAAAUUGCAAAACGUGCAACUCGUGUGGGUGUCAAUAUUUUUAUAACAACAAGUGUGUCGUUAAAACCGCCAUUUCAAUAAUAAUUUCCUUUCAAGGAAAAAUGACUACAAUUUGUCAAUAGAAGGAAUUAUGACUUCUCUAUUUUGUUAACCUAAGACCACUGAGAUGGUCAUGGCCGAUGAUUUUAUCGUCACGGUGUACUCGCGAUACUCUAGGGAAGUGGAUUAGAAGAAUCCACUUCCGGUUACACCUGUCCAUCGAAAAGAUGAACUGUUGAAAUCACUUUGAACAGCCACGCAGGAUUACAGAUGCAAUAAAAGCCAGGAUAACUGAUAAGUUCGUGAGCCAAUACGAUAGCCAACCGAUCGUGCAUACACAACUGAGAAGGUACCACCAGUGAUAUCAGCGCCAUGAACGGUUGUUGCCUGAAACAAAAGAUUUUUUUUUUAAAUACUUAAUAAAUCUUUGAAGAUGAAGGGAAGGAAUCAAAGAGAGUAUUGAAAAGGAUUGUAAAAAAUUAUUGGAGAUUUUUUGUUCAUGUAAAUUGUUGGUUUCAACUUGAAAACCAAAUCCCAAACAUUUCUCAACUCUCUUUUAAAUGGAUAGGAAACCUUUGGUAAUGAACGAAACAACUAAUACAUAUGUAAUAGCGAGAAACCAUUUAUUCGUACAUAAGGAUAUUACAUUGGUAUAUCGGCGAAAUAAUGAUCAAAUCAACGUAUUCAGUGGAUAUCGAAAAAUCAAUUUACAAUAAUAAAAUUCGUUUAAAAAUACAAAUUUGUGAUAAUAAUGAAGUGAUAAAGGAGCUGCAUGUGCGAGGACGGGACAGGCAUGAACUUUCAAAACUCCGCUGAAAUAAUUAGGUAAUUAUUGAAGAUAAAUCAUAAAUGAAACAAUUAAAACAUUUAUCGUAAAAAAUAAGGCGUGUGGAACAAUUGGUUAUGGCUAAAAAAAAAUCGUCUUAGCGGGUUUUUGGUCGGAAAGAAGGAAAUUCGUGUAAUGGUGACUUUGGAUAUCUUCGAAAUAAUUAAUUUCUCAUUAUCUAUAGCAAGUCCUGAUUUAAGAGAGAAAGAGAAAGAGAGAUAAACAGCUUGGUCGUCAUAAUGAUUCAAGUAAACCUGCUUUUUUCUGUAUUUUUUUCGUUUUUUUUUCUUUUUUCAUUAUAUGGCGUCAAUGUCAAAGUCAUCGCCAUCGUCGGAAUCAUCUUCAACCGGUUUUUUCGGGGUCUGGGGCUGCUUUUGCGUCUGUUGUUUCAACGGUUGUUUAGCUCUGUCGUCGUAUUCAAUCUCCAGAUCGUCAUCUUCUUCUUCGGAUUCUGACUCUUCCUCUUCUGCCUCUUUGAGCCAAGUGAUGAAU